AUGUACUCGUGAGUUUUUCAAAGACCUCAAAUAGCACUCCUCCUUCGGACUUGUGUGCUAUUUUGAGGUCUUUGAAAAACUCACUCGUGCAU